GAUGAUGUCCACGGAUUGUAUUCAUUCGCCUGACCUCUGUUACGUAUGCGGUGAAUUUAUAAGCCCACGCAGCAAAAAAUAUUUGAUUUCCACUGCAACUAAAUUGAAGCAGGCCUACAGAGAUUGUUUUGGGCUUGAAAUCCAUAGCCAAGACAAGCAUUGGGUCCCCUAUUAUAUCUGCAGUUGUAGCUCCUCUGGAUUGCUUGAUUUGUUGUCAAACACGUUCAAGUUUGCCCGACCCAGAGUUUGGAGCGAGCCUACCAGCCAUGACAACUGUUAUUUUUGUCUGGUAUAGUAAAUCGGGGUAGAAAAUCAAAUUUUUACCCAAACAUCGCAUCGUCGCUGGCCACGAUAUUAAAUGGGGGGGGGGGGGGGCAAGUGGAUCCCGCCCGAAAGAGUCUUCGCUAGAAAGUGUUGUGGCAAACACAUAAAGCAUCGAAUCUGUUGAUGUACCAGGAAACGUUACGCUUACCAUGCCGCAGAGAUCGCAAUCAUUUUUACCAAAUGUUUACCCUAACAUUUCGUCGCCGCACACCCCGAUACUGGAAGCUGAUGCAAGUGGAUCCCGCAUGGAAGAAUCUUCGGUAGAAAGUGUUGUGGCAAACACACAAAACAUGUAAUCUUUUGAUGUACCACGAAACGUUACGCUUACCAUGUCACAGAACUCGCAUUCCUUUGAGCUCGUCGAAGAAAAGGUUACUUGGCGGUCUUCCGAUUGCAAACAUCAACCAGAUGAUUUUUGUUAUGUUUGUGGAUGCUGGCUUCAUCGAACUUCAAGAAAAUAUAUUUUACGCAAAGACACUCAGUUGUACAAAGCAUAUGAGGCAUAUUUCAAAAUAAAUAUUGUGUAUCAAGAUAAACAGUGGGUGCCUCAUUAUGCCUGUCAUAAUUGCCUGAAAAAAUGCUAGGUAUAGAAUAUAUUUAAACCCUUUUUUAUGUGUUUGGAUUGGAUUUGUGUACAUACAUUUGAUUUAGGGUAGACGUGCCCUUAUUCGUCUCAUUAGUCACGAUAUCACACUAUUUCUCUGAUAGCUUGGGUUACACUGAUUGGAUUUCACCCAUAUAUGUAUCAACAUCUUUGCUUCGUUUUUAAGAAGCAGAUCAAUAAAAAAUCUGGCAUGGAAAAUUUAAAACACACGCGUUAAAGCGAAGCGAAAAGUCGAGUACAACGCACCCUCAUUCAUCCUACCAUUUGAGCUAAUGCGUUGAAUGAAGAUAGCAGAUACUGCUCUAACUAAUGUGUUCAAAUGGAUGGGAUGAAUAGAAGUGCUAAGAUGAAUUAGGGCACAGUAACCCUAAGCAUUAAAUAUUCAAAAUUUAUUUGAUUCGCUAUUUCAGCGUGGUACCAUGGAGAGAACAAA